UAGGGAAUCUUCGGCAAUGGACGAAAGUCUGACCGAGCAACGCCGCGGGAGUGAAGAAGGUUUUCGGAUCGUAAAACUCUGUUGUUAGAGAAGAACAAGGACGUUAGUAACUGAACGUCCCCUGACGGUAUCUAACCAGAAAGCCACGGCUAACUACGUGCCAGCAGCCGCGGUAAUACGUAGGUGGCAAGCGUUGUCCGGAUUUAUUGGGCGUAGAGCGAGCGCAGGCGGUUUCUUAAGUCUGAUGUGAAAGCCCCCGGCUCAACCGGGGAGGGUCAUUGGAAACUGGGAGACUUGAGUGCAGAAGAGGAGAGUGGAAUUCCAUGUGUAGCGGUGAAAUGCGUAGAUAUAUGGAGGAACACCAGUGGCGAAGGCGGCUCUCUGGUCUGUAACUGACGCUGAGGCUCGAAAGCGUGGGGAGCAAACAGG
rnacentral:rRNA from 1 species